UACGGGGGGGCAAGCGUUGUUCGGAAUUAUUGGGCGUAAAGAGCUCGUAGGCGGUCUGUUGCGUCCGCUGUGAAAACCCGGGGCUUAACCCCUGGCUUGCAGUGGAUACGGACAGACUAGAGGUAGGUAGGGGAGAAUGGAAUUCCCGGUGUAGCGGUGAAAUGCGCAGAGUAUCGGGAGGAACACCGGUGGCGAAGGCGGGUCUCUGGGCCGAAACUGACGCUGAGGAGCGAA
rnacentral:rRNA from 1 species